rnacentral:lncRNA from 1 species
UUUUUUUUUUUUUUUUUAUUUAUAAAUUUCAUACCUUCAUCAACUUCUUUAAAUUCCUGCGGUCACCGCAUCCAAAAUAAGAUCAUGUUUAUAUUCUGUUUUAAAACAUAAUUCUUAUUUUAAAUUUAAAUUCGUUAGAUCAAUUCGCAACUGUUAUUUUUUCAAAAUUUGUUUGCUUUUACGUGUAAUUUGUAAGAUCACUUGCUAACGGGGACUUAAUAUCAACUCCAUAUCUAUAAACACAAAUAGGAUCAUGUUAUAGAUAUGGAUUAAUGAAUCGUAUUUAUUUUUGAUAUUUAUGAAUAUUAUUUAUAAGCCUCUAAUAAUUAAUGUCCAAUUAUAACUAUCUAAUAUAAAUAAAUAGAAAGUGUUAUAAUAUUUUAAAUCGGGACAUUUAAAUGUAUAAAAAUAAUAUAAUAAAAAUUAUGUAAAUGUCAAUGUAUAAAAAUUUACAUACAGAUUGUCUACCAUGUAGACAAAUGGUCAAACAUGUAGGGUGAGGUAUGAAAAGACAUUAUACGCUCAAAUAAAUAAUUCUUUGAUAAUCUUAUUUUAGACGAUGAUAUUAUUAUAUUUUUUUAGUUAAAAAAUAUUGUAGUGUCCAGGAAAUAGUGCCACAAUUGUAGACGUAAUUAUAGAAAUUAUAUAAGUUAUUUUUACUAAAUAAAUUCUAUAGGUUUUCACGAUAAUUUGUGAUAUUGAAAUAUUUUUAAAAGAAAAUAUCAAUAUAUUUAAACAUAAAAAAGAAUUAGUAAUAAGGACAAACAAUGAAAAAGGAAAGUGAAAUAUUUUAUAUAAGUAUUAUUUUUCAUUUUUUGUAAUAAGAAAUUAUUACCAUAAUGUAAUAAGAAUUAGAACCAUAACCCAAUACUGUUUCACUCCUGGAAAGGAGGCUUCAAUCGUAAUUUUACUUAUCAAUAUGGUUCGGGUUCUAAGUUUAAUUGCCAACCAUAAUAAUAAAGUACAAACAGAUAACAGAGCUGCUUCACGUAAACCAUGUAACAGACCUUCAAAGAAAACAAGAGCACAGAGGAAUCAGCUACCAAGGGCCAUUACACCUUUCUAUGUAGCUUUCCAAGAUGACAGAGGCGGAGUAUUUGCAAAUCUCCAAGUAUGUGCCAUCAUAAAAGGUGGGUAUCUGUCACCCUUUGCUGCAUUAGCUGAAGCAAUUGAUUCAAGCUCAGCCAUUUCUUCCGGUGUCAACUUCACCGAUAAGGCCUUGAUGUUGCUCUCCAGGUUCUCAAUCUUAGUAGUGCCAGGAAUGGGACAGACGUCAUCCCCUUGAUGAUGAACCCAUGCUAAGGCCAAUUGGGAUGGAGUACAACCCUUUCUUGUUGCCAACUGAGUAACCUGCUCGAACAGCUUGUUAUUGUGCUCAACAUUCUCCUUCUGAAACCUUGGGAAACUCUACAAACGCAGCAAACACUUGCUGUAAACAUUAAAAUCAUAUAGACUGAUUGUGCCCAUGCACCUGUGCUUUGCUUUUCAAAAUCUACCAUAAAAGCAUCACUUACUAAGAAGGCAUUUGUAAAUUUUACCACGUACAUUCUCACCUCCGACCAGAGAAUUAAAUAACAAAAAAAAAAAAAAAAAAGAUGAUGCCAUGACAUCUUUUGUACUACCACUCCAGGCACAUACAUGCCAAGGUAAAAGCAAAAAGGGAGUGCAAGAAAGUGUAAUAUGGCGUUGGACUAAUAUGUUAGUACAAUCUCAGGGAGUUGUCACAUGGUCACAAGAGCCAGAGUAACAGUAAAUGUUCAAUGACAUAUCUGAAAUUAAUCUGCAGCUACCAUAAGUUCAAACCAAAUAAACUCAAGUUUUUAAGCGAGAAAAUGAGAUUUAAAAUGCAGAGGAUACUGUUUUAGUAUCUGCUUAACCAUAGUGGAUACUUACUCACUAUGAGAUUCACGAAUUAUACGGAGGUACAGUGCCCGUUCCAGAUCUUUGCUUUAAGAUAAAAAAAAAAAAUGAUGUGGUGCUUUUGCCUGUUUCUAAAAGAUGCCCUGUCAGAUAUGGUGGCAGGGAAAGACAGCAGAAAGCAUAUGAAAAGGAAAAUAAAACAAUGUCGCCAGUAACUGCUUAAAAAAAUGGAAAUGUGACCAGUGACCAAACAGGAUAACAGGUAGGUUUUUCAUAGCAACAACUGGCUCCAUUUCACUUCUGAAACAUAGACUGCAGAGAAAGUUCAAGUAACAUAGCAAAGUCACAUGAGCCAAACACAGGAAACUAUAGUCAAGAGAACUUAGUCAAAAACAAGAUAAUAGGAAGAUUUUUCUUACUAACGAACAACUGCUUCCAUUUCAGUUCUGAAACACGGACUUCAGAGCAAGUUGAAGUAACAUACAAAGUUAAUUGAGAACCAAAAACAAAGGAAGAUAUACGCAAGAAAACUUUUGUAUAUUUUCUAGUAGAUCUACGGAAACCAUGAAUUCAACGUAUUACGAAUUCUGGAAAACACUACAUGGGCUGCAAGGAGGGGUAAACAAUAGACUCAGAUUACUAGAUGUAAUCUGCAAUUGGAGUAAGAUUUCAAAUUGCACAAGCCUUGAGCACAUACCUUACGGAAGUCAUUACUAGUCAAGUUCUCCGUCAACUUUGCACCAGAUGCAAAGAAUCCUCUGCCCAGAGGACUGAAUGGUACAAUUCCUAUGCAUAGUUCCCUAUAAUUAAAAAUCAUCAUGAAUUAGUAAGCUGAGGGGGGCAAUACAAGCUUCCAACUAUGGAAGAUUAUUAUGUGGAGCAUAUCUUUUGGAUGACUUACCUGCAUGUGGGAAUAACCACUUCCUCAGCAUCUCUCGUCCACAAGGACCAUUCUAGUUGCACAGCUGUUAUGGGAUGAACAGCAUGAGCUCUCCUGAUUGUUUCUGGAGAGGCCUCAGAUAGACCUAUGUGUCUUACUUUACCCUCUUCAACCAGUUGCUUCAGAGCUCCAACCUAGAAGUUGCAGGUUAUAGAAGGAUUUCAAUUGACAAAUCUGUCUAAUGUGCAAAUCUAUUUGUAAUUUCACAACAAAUACAAAAGCACAAGCAAAAAGGCUUGGGGACAUCCAUCAACUUCCGGUGAAUACUGAAAAAUGCAGAGUACUACUAUAGCCUAACUAAGCUAUAAAACAUACACGAGUGAUAUUGCAAAGACAUGAAUAAAAUUAAGAGAAGAAAAACCCCCGGGGGGGGGGGGAUGCGUGAACAUAUUCUACUGUAGAACCCUUUAAUUAAUUUAAUAGUACUGAAAACAAUAGUUCAAUGUAAUCCAAACAAUGCUUGGCCGCUGUUUACUUGCGUAGACUUCAAAUAAGGAAAUAGAUUUUCCUAUUUCCUUUUUUGUUUUGGGGGCGGGGGGGCAUUUAUCUAACUCUGAUUCUUGGGGAAAUUCCCAAGAUUAUGAUGAAAUUCAACACUGUUCUACAAAAGGGUGUUUUUGGUUGUAUGUUCCGGACAAGACGGUCCUCAUGCAUUUGUCAAAUGCGAACUCAAUAGAGCUUGCCUAUGGUAAAUGUCAGGUCUAAAAGGGUUAGAUUUUGAUCGAAGCCACGAGCUCGAAUUGACCAAAUGUCAGCUCAUUGAACUCACAUUCAGUAAAUCCUAGGACCCUAUGGACUAAAACACACACACACCCACUCACCCACCCACACACACACAACCCCCCUCUCUCUCUUUUGUAGAAUAUUUUUACAUUUCAUAAUAAUUUUGGGAACUUCUCCUCAUUCUAGAGCUCAAACAGAGAACCGCUAUAUGACAAAUUGCUCUUAUUGAUUACUACAACUCGAACUGAAUUAAUUAAUCCAAAAAAAAAAAAGAUUGAUGGAAAUAGAAGGCUACGAAAACAAACCGUGAUUUCAAUAGGAAUCGUUGUGUCAAUCCGAUGAACAUAAUACAGAUCAAUAUAAUCAACAUCUAGCCUCUUCAAACUGGCCUCACAAGCUUCCCUCACAUAGUCUGGAUGGCCACAUGCUACGUGUUCUCCGCUUGGCAACAUUCUUGCCGCAAAUUUCGUUGCAAUUUGAACUUUCACCCUUUCCACCCCCUUCAAUGCCUACUUCCACAACACUCAAAAUAAAUUACCAAAAAGCAAAAUCCCCCAAUAAAAAAAAAAACAGAAAUUUCCAACCACAUCUCAGCUGAGAGUUAGUAUAGGCAUAAAAAAAAAUCCAAAAACAGUAUAAAAAUCUUUACAAACAAAAAUCCAUCAAUAAAUCACAAAAAAAAAAAAAGAAACAGAAAUUGCAUUUGGUCAUCAUUAUACUUCCUUGAACCCAGAAAAAAAAAAAAAAAAGAGAGGAAGAGAGGUUGGCUUUGGCCAUUUUGGCUUAUGAGGUGUGACUUUACCUUUCCAAUGAGGAUUUCAUUAGUAUGGGGGCCAUAGACAUCAGACGUGUCCAGAUGAGUGAUGCCACUAUUGAUGGCAUGGUGGAUCAGCUUGAUCAUAUCUGGCUCGGGUUUUGGAAGGCCAUAGCUAAAAGACAUCCCCAUGCAACCUAAGCCUUGGGCUGACACCUCUAGGCCUUGUGGUCCCAGCUUGAUUCUCCUCACUCCUGCCGCCAUUUUUGUCUUUUUUGAGCUCUGUUACUAAAUUUUUUCCAAAACCCUGCUGGCUUUUCUCCCCUUCUCUUCAGGUAUAGCAUUGAAAGUAGCGAGAGUUAAAUAGAGAAUUGGAUAGUAUGAUGACGUAGUCAGUGAGCUCACCUUCUGGCUUUUCUCCUCUUCUCUUCAUGUAUAGCAUUGAAAGCAGGGAGAGUUAAAUAGAGAAUUGGAUAGUAUGAUGACGUAGUCAGUGAGCUCAUCUAGUGGACAAAUUGGAUAGUAUGAUGACGUAGUCAGCAACUUUGGACACUUUUCAGGCACGGACAUUGGGGAUGUCUGGUGAGCUGGUGGUAAAAGUGGGAUCAGGGGCCACGAAGGAUUUCGUGGUCAAGAAGCUUUUCAUGGUCAAGAUGUGAUGGCCCAUCAUCAACCGUGAAAACGAAGCCAUGUCGCAGAGUUAUAUCUGUUGAAGAAGACGACGUCGUUUUAUUGAGUAAUAAUUUAAAAAAUAAAAAUUUUGAAAACGGAUGGAGUAUCAUCGUUAAACGGUGUUUGCAUACAACAAAUUUAUCCCGCCCAAAUUAUUAAUGAAAAGUUCAUUUUUAUCAGAAAUCUCCAUUUCACUUUCCCCAUUUCCCCAAACCCUUUACCCGUUGUCUGCUAAUGCAAAAAAUCACUCCACAAAAUCACUCCCAUUUCUCUCCCCAUUGUCUGCUAAUUUCCAAAACAACUGCCUGAAUUCCUCCUAAAGAAGACCCAUGGUGUUUUUUGGAGGAGGAGAAACUGCAUAAUUCAAAACCCUGGGGUGUUGUAAUAGUUGGAGAUUCAAAUUUAAUCGAGGCCAACUGGUGGCACAAGAUCAAUGAAUCCAUUGAAUGGCAAGAUGGGAUCUUUUACACUCUCUGCGCUGCCUAUGCCCUUGUCUCCUCUGUUGCCCUUGUAAUGUUUAUCCGCAACAUUGAUAUUCUUUAUUUCUUUACAUUUUGAAUUCAUUGGGGUCAAAAUUUUCUGAGAUUUUCGAGUUAAUUUCUUAUUUUAGUGAGUCUUGAAGUUUCACAUUAGUUUUCAAGGGGUGGAUUGAAGAAAUUUUGGAGCUUUGUUUAUUUCGAACUGGGUAACUCAGCUGAGCAGUUAAAAGUGUUGAAGUUAUGCUUGUAAAAAAGUUAUCUUUUUUAUUUUUCUUCUUUAGGUUGCAAGCUUAGUUAGUUUAGUACUUAUUUUUUGUGUCUUCUUCCUGCUUACAACCCUUUUGAGGAGGUUCGUUAUUUCAAGAGAAAAGAACUAGUAAUUUCUCUGUAAUGUCUCCUGUAAUAUCUCCUAGUGGAACAACACAAGUUUCUGCAAAAGAACUUCUUGAUUCCAUUCUGGAAACUGUUAGGAUUUUUGGUUAGGACUUAAUACCUCUCUUUUCUUUAAUUUAAUGCCUGUAAUUACUUCACUACUUUUUGAACAAAUCAUUAUGAUUGCAGAGAACCAUGUUAUUGUUGGAGAGCUUCUUGAGACAAAAUCUGCCCAGCAGGUUGACUUGAAUACACCCAAAUCCAUAGUUACAACUAGUGCAAUUUGACUUACAAUUUGUUGAUUUGUUUGGACAAUAGAAAUUGCAAUGCAUAUAAAAGAAAUUGUUGUAGGGAGUAUAAGAACAUAAUGUGAAAGGUGACAAAAGAGUUUUUAUUAGUUGCUUGCUUUUUUUUUUUCUGAACCUAUUCUGAGAAUGCAAUAACUAUCAAUAUUCACAGUUAAGCAGAAUACAUUCUUCCGUUAUUGCUAUUAAUUUGUUAUAUGAUUUUGGAUUGAGAGUUUAGUCAAAUAAAGUUGGCAUGACAUAUUGUUAUGUUGUUUGUAUCAAUUGAUAUUUUUCUUGUACAUAUUACUUAUUAUAGUUUACAAACCCAUAUCAUGGUAAAAAAACAUAGUGUUCUUUCACCUGUGUAUAGUGCACAUGGUAAAGAACAUACUGUAAGUAUGAUUAUUCAAUUGUUGAUUUUCUAGUUAUUUAGGAGGUCCUUUCAUUAGGUAACAACAUAAUAUUCAUUAUUCAAUUGAUGGUAAUUGAUUGUUUACUUAGAAAUUGUAAUUUUGACAAUGGCAUAAUGUCCAUUGUUGCUGUUAACAUCAUUGAAAACUCCAUGACUAUUUAAUAUUAGGGAGUGAGAUAGGAACAGUUGUUUGAUCAACCGUCCAUAAAUAGUGUAAUAAUUGUUGAAUAUUUUGUAACUUUAUGUAAAUCUCUUGUACAUUUGUAACAACAGAAGUGUGAUAAUACACUUUUGUGAAGAAACCUCAGGGGAUAGGAUAUUGAAAUUAUCCCUUAUGUUUUUGUCAUGUCGUUUAUUUUGGUGCAGUUUCAAAUAAUACAUUAUGGGACGUCGGAGAACCAAGAAGAUGAAUCUUACAAAAGAUAAAGGCAAGCAGGUUGAGAAAUAUCAUGAUAAUAAUCCAUUAAAGCCGGUGAGACCACCAAGUGAUUUCAUUGCAUACAAGUAUAUAUGACUUUAUAGAAGGAUUAUUGUCUACAUUUUGGGCUUUGAAUUAGUUAAAAAACUCAUGAUAAAAUCAAAAGUCUAUGUGAUGGAUCUAAUCAUAUUAAAUCAUGGUAGGAUUGACUUCACACGCAAGCAAAAAGCAAAGGGAAAGGCAUAACAAUUCAGGAGCUAAACAUAUAUGCUAGAAAUGCAUGGAACAAACUGAGUGAUGAGGAGAAGCUUGUAUGGAAGAAUAAAGCAGAUAUGAAAAAAUAUAAGAAGCUGAUGAAAAUCUACAAGGAGUCUAUAGCGGACAAGGGAGAAAGCAUAAAGAGUGAUGUAGCGAAACAAGUAAGAACGUAACAUCAAAUUUUGUUGUUUUGAAAUUAAAUGUUUUAGAAGUUUCAAAGCGCAAGUGCAAGUAUUGGAUUGUUAUUUGUUAAUUUUUAUCAACAUUGUUAUAUUGUUUUUAUAGGCAUAUAGGUUUAGGUGCACACCAACUAAAUUUUUAAAGUUUGUGGGUCGUAUUGAUGGGGCGAAAAUAGCUGUAAUAAAAGAAAUAGGAUUUGAUGGAUUACUGGAGAUCUAAUGCCACAUCCUUCCAAGUAUUAUAUGCAUGUGGUUGGUGAAUAAUUUCAAUUCAACUCACUCAUAUGUAAAACUUGAAGGUGGACGUGUACUACCUGUAACAUCAGAGGAUAUAGCAAAGGCUCUUGGAAUUCCCGGUGAGGGGCCAGUGCAGGUUGAAGAUACUAGAGAUGAUAGAAUUGAUAGCGAGCCAUAUUAUUCUAGGAAGAAGAAGUAUAAUUGGCAUGAUAUAGAAGAUGAGCUAAUAUCCAUGGAGGUCGGAGAUGAAUUUAAGAGAUUAUUUGUUAUUUUUGCAUGUGGAUGCUUGCUUGCUCCAACGACGAAAAAACCAGUUGUAAUAAAUGAUUGACAAAUAUCUAGUAAUUUAUAGUUGUGUUACGUAGAAUUUUGUACUUGUAUUGUGUAGAAUUAUCUCCUUUUAGGAUUACUAUUGGGAGCAAAGUUCAUUAGUUAUGAAGAUUUUUACUACUAGUGGAACAUGUAGAAUUUUUUGUUGGGAGCAAAGUUCAUUACUCUUGGUACAAUGUAGAAUUUUUGUUUGCAGUAGCCAGGGUUGGCACACCACAAUUAAUGUAUAAUUUCUUGUAAUCAAUUAAAGAGAUGUAAAUGGUCUAAAACUAUUCUGCAUUGAUUGCAAUUGUCAGACUACUAUCUAAUAUAAAAAGAAAACAAUCAUUUUACUAUUACAUUGUUCCAAUCCAGUUCCAAAAGGGUCACAAGAUGCAUCCUCUUAGCAUACAUAUUCAUCGAAGGCAAUUAGCUUCUACCCAUUUAUAUCGUAGGUAGUUGCACUUUUUCGUCGCUUAUAUGUAUGGGAGUACUGCUCUGUAAGCUUUCCACAGAAGCUACAAUAGGGGUCUGACAAUCAUUGAAACAAGCAAUAAAUUAUUUAAAUCAAAUAUUCAGUGUUCAUAAAAGCAUGCCCUGCAAUAGUCUUGUAGCAAUUCUAAAUAAUAACUUUAAAUAAAUUUUUUUAAAGAAUUAUUGACCAUUAAGAAUUCGGUGAAUGAGCUGUACUUUGUCUUGUUCACAAGAUCGUUAGGAAUCAAAAGUGGGAGAUUGUUACGAUCUUGAAUAUGGAUAUUAUGAGCAGUCAGUAUUUGAGGAGUGAUUCCAGAUUCACCGGGCUAGAUUUCAGUAUUGUACUGAAUAAGAUACUGUAAAUUUGUCCAAAAUCUUGAUUAUCCACACAAGUGCAAUAUCUCACUUACCAUCCUACAAGACUGCAUAUCUGAGUGAAUAACUGGGGAUGAUCUAAAAUUUGAUUCACUGAAUGAUUGUUAUCACUAAUAGUACAUUAUAUUAGUUGCAAAGUCAUACUAACACAGUGUAUAACAGCAAAAUAACUACAAGUAAAGACUAAAUACGCAUUCUGUCCAAAAUUUAAGAUACUAUGAUGUACGAAAAUUAUGAGGCAAAUGUAUACAUAAUGUAUAGCAACGUGUUCAACUGGAUUAACAAUAUGUAAACAAAAAUCAAUUGAAAGUAUUCUAAACAAAAAUCAAAAUUCAGUACAUACGUGACCAGAAAUGAAUACAUUGUAAAGUUAUACUCCAAACUUAUGGGCUUUUUAUUGAAGUAACUAUGCAACAGAUUUGGAAAGGUCUUUUUAUAGUGUGUACCAACUAAAAUAUACCGUGUACCAGAAUAAUAACAUGAUGUCAAAACUAAAUAACGGGUGAUAAAUAAUUGUAACUUGUACGAUUUAAAAAAUAAAUGAGAGCAAAUACAUUAAUAAUCUGUAAAAAAUUUUAUCCAAAUGUGUAAUCAUGUGUCUAAAUGCAAUAACGAUAUUUCAAAAUAAAGUAACCAGUGGUAUACGGUAUCAAUCAAUGCUUACAAAAUAUAUUUCAGUUUGUACACAUAAAAUAACAACAUGUAAAUUCUAUUAAAUUAAGAGAUUGCCGUAGUGUGUACCAACUAAAAUACACCGUGUAACAAAAUAAUAACAUGAUAUCAAAACUAAACAACGGAUGAUAAAUAAUUGUAACUUGUACGAUUUUAAAAAUAAAUGCGAGUAAAUAAAUUAAUAAUAUGUGAAAAAUUUUAUCCAAAGGUGUAAUCAUGUGUCCAAAUGAUAUAACGAUAUUUCAAAAUAAAGUAACCAGUGGUACAUGAUAUCAAUCAAUGCGUGCAAUAUAUAUAUCAAUUUGUACACAUAAAACAACAACAUGCAAAUGCUAUUAAAUCAAGAGAUCGCCGUAAUGUGUACAAACUAAAAUACACCGUGUAACAUGAUGUCAAAACUAAACAACGACUGACAAAUAAUUGUAACUUGUACGAUUUAAAAAAUAAAUAUGAGCAAAUAAAUUAAUAAUCUGUGAAAAAUUUUAUCCAAAGGUGUAAUCAUGUGUCCAAAUGUAAUAACGAUAUUUCAAAACAAAGUAAUCAAUGGUACAUGGUAUCAAUCAAUGGGUACAACAUAUAUAUCAGUUUGUACACAUAAAACAACAACAUAUAAAUGCUAUUAAAUCAAAAGAUCGUCGUAGUGUGUACCAAUUAAUAUGUACAAAAUAUGAUAUUACUAUGUCAAAAAUAAAUAACAUGUGAUGAACAUCCUAUCACUAUUAUGCAUACCUUAAUAACCAAUGUGUACAAGUAAAACAUUAAUUUGUAACAACUAAAUAACUAAGAGUGAACUAUAAUGCACAUUAUGUAAAGUAUAAAAAUAGCUACUUACUACCACAGAAUUAUUCGAUGACAAACAUUUCCUUGAUGUUUGGCUUUGGAUAGGUUGAUAGGAUUCUGAUGACUGACAAGAGAAGAAUAUACAACAACUAAAUUGGCUUAUGAUAGUAGAGUCAAUUGAAAUGAUAUAGUUAUGUAAGUCCAAAAAUAAGAUUCAGUACUAACCAUCUCAAAUAGCGUUUUAAGUCAUCACGAGUGUAGCUAAUAUUGCCUAAUCCACCUACCUCUUUUCCAAUGAGUUCAUGGGAUUGUUUCAAGGAUAUUCCUGCAUUAUUUGCAAUCUCAGCUUGGGCUCCUUGAGAAAUACUUACUUUUCUUUGCGAACGCAUCAUAUGAGCACAUUUUGAAAUGUGUAUUGUGUGAUUAUACUCAAUUAUCAGAUCUCAAACCUGAUACUUCAUUAUUUCUCUGUUCAAAAUUAUCUCCAUUUUAGCUUCACAUCCGGUUUUUGUUUCAGCCCGAGUUCUCUUUGGUUUUACGUUUCUUUCGUACUAUCGUUUGAAACUUUCUUUGCAACAUGUGUAUCUUCUCGAUGUAACUACACCGUCUUUAUCCUUGUUCAAGUAGUCUUUCCGAACACUGAACCCAACAACUAAUCCGUACCUAUUGUAGAAGUUGUAUGCCUCAUCUUCUGACUGAAACUCCAUGCCGAUCUUAGGACACAAUGUUUCCUCCAUUGUGUUGUAUUCGACAAAAGCAUUUUUUGCUAUUUUUUUCAGGACAAACUAUUAUAUUUAUUUUUUAUUUCCUUAUUCAUAUCAUAAGCACUUAAUUAUUUGUAUUCACAUAUGUACAUACUUUAUAACGACGUGAACACACUUUACAACAUUUUGUAAAAUAAUUUUUAUGGAUAUAUAUCUUCUCUGUAAUAGGUAAUCAAUCACAUAAGUCCAAUAAUUUGCAAAGCAUAUUUCAUUAUAUAAUAUAUGCAUUUCAAACAAAUAUUAUAACCAAUUUAUGUAUAAUAUCAGUAUUUAAAUACUUUACAAUCAUAUGUACACACUUUAUAACAAUGUGUACACCCUUUAUAUCAACUUAUAACAUAACAAAUGCAUGUAUGUAAAAUACACUUUUACAUAGCGUAAGGUUUGACAGUGUUCUCAAAAUCUAUACAUUGUCAUUUAUACCGUUUGUGUAGUUAUUUAAGUUGGUCACAUUGUUAAGUUGUUUUUACGCUUAUGUUAUUUUAUUUGUACACAUCCUCAUUUAUAUUUUGAAAUUCUGUACGGGAUUUUUAUUGUACAAGUUAACCAUUCUCUGCAAAAGGAUAAUGACAUACUUCUUAUAAUUUUCAAAUCAUGCUUCACUACAUAACACAUUUAUUACAAUCAAAUUACAUAUAAUAUUAGCAUUUACCUUGGACAGAGUUCACCAUGCAGUGGAUUUCAGAUGAGCCGUUCACAAGUCUUGGCUAUGCAUUUGUUACUCGAUGAAUAUCUAUUUCAGUCAUCCACAAGUUAAAUCGGCGUGUAUUGUUGCUGCAACGGAUCUUCAUAAUUAUCUUGUGUUCACCUCAGAUAAGAUGCCCGUUUUGAUAGGGUUUAUUUAAGAGUUGGAAGAGAAGAAGACAAAGAUUUAUGUCUAUGUUAUGCGAAAUAGUUUGUUGAGAGAAGAAGAACAAAAGGAGCUGCAGCGACAAUGUAUUGUGUUCAGAGAAAAUCCACUAUUGCUAUUUUCUUCCAACCUCUUUUAAGUUGAAAGAGUUUUAAAGCCCGCCGAUCGUACCAAAUGUUGAUUUUGAAUUUUUUGUACGCUUAACAGCUAGAUCAAACAGAGUUACAAGUCAAGUUUCUAAUGGAGCUACAAUCCUCUAUACUCAUCUCCAUUUUGUUCCCCAUAUUUUUUACCGUUGAUGAUAGGCCCACCACAUCUUGGCCAUGAAAAGUUUCUGGACGGUUGUCUGACAACCGUCCAGGCUCCUAGUCCGUAAAAGUGGAGGUUCAGCUGGGCACCUGUAAAGCGGCAAAAGUUUGAAGUGACGUCUCCAGAGUGCAGCCCUAGUCCACCUGGAGUUGAGGACAUUUUUUUAAAUGGAACGUAGUUGUACGUUUGUAAAGUGGGAUGUUGCUGUGAUAUGUUUAUUAGUAAAAAAAGAGAUGUGGAAAGGUAAGAAAAAAGUCAGGGCAAGCAAUUAUGGCCACAAAUGAUAGAGAAUGUGCCUUGGAUGGGCACAUGUAAAGGCAUUUUAUGACUUGGAACUUGAACAGCCGUUGGGUGUUAAAGUUGAGUGGAAGGGCCAUAUGAAAAGUUGAGGGAUUUGAAAGCAUAAAUGGAAAAGGUGGAGUGCCUAAAAUAAUGAACUCCCAAAGGAAGAGGGCCGCGAGCCAAACUAAGGGCAUUGAAAAAGGUGCCAAGUUUGACGGAGAAACUAAACACUGUACGCAUAUAAAAUGAACAGGAAUUACCGCGAAAAGGGUAUUCGUUAUGGAGUUGGCGGCUGAAAUAGAUGUUUCAAAAAUAUAUAUUUGUAUAUAUCCUAGCAUGUAUGUCUAUAUAUAUAUUUUUGUGAAUGGGAUAACUUUGAACAAGCUCGGAUGAGUGAUAUUUUCGAAAUAUCAUUGGACUUCACUGAGUAUAAUUUCGUUUCUCGUGACAGUAGUUUAAUAUGCCAAUAUCAAUGGUGAAAAUUAUCUAAUAAUACUCUCAUAUUUAAAUUCUAAAAUUUUUUCCAUUUACAUAUAAAUUUCCUACUUUUUUUAGAACGUGUAUACAUUCAUACAUUUUAAAAAUAUACAUUUAUACAUAUAUAGAUAUAUGGAUAUGUAUGUCUUUAUAUAAAUAUACUGUGAAUGGAAUAACUUUUUAGAACCUCGGAUGGCGUUAUCUGAAGUAUCAUUGGACUCCCCUGAGUAUAAUUUCAUUUUUCGUGAUAGUAGUUUAAUAUGUCAAUAUCAAAAGUGAAGAAUUCUCAAAUAUUACCCUCAUAUUUACAUUUUAAAUCUUUCUUUCAUUCUCUAAAUUUCUUACUUUUUUUUACAAUGUGUAUACAUACAUACAUAUGUAUGUCUAUAUAUAUGUGGUAAAUUCUGAUGGGGUGUUAAUUGUCGGUUAUUUUAUUAUUAAUUUUUCCCGUGUCCCUGCCAAAUAUUGUCUUAAUUGUUAAUAUCUACUUAUAUUUGGUAUCUGGAAUUAAUUUUAGGGAAUGGAACAGAAAAUUACAAAAAAUGAGGGACUUUCUGAAGCAAAUUACUUCACACGUGGGAGUCUUCUGCAAAGCUCCAUCAACGUGGCCCACAAGAGGGAAGAAACGGAUUUCCGUUUGCUCUUGCUGAUGAGGAGUGGCUGGUACAAGGAGUCCUACUAUCAAUAGGAAACGAGGAGGAACUUUGGCAGAGCUCCAAUUCUUUGGCUCUUUGACUCCCAAUUCGGCGGGGACCACAGGGAUAGCAUUAGUCAUCUUUCUUUUGGCUUUAAAAAAGGGACAAUCGUGCAGAGGCUUGGGGGGCUUAGUCUUUAGAAUAGUUUUAGUCUUUUCUUUCUUUUUUUUUAUCAGGCGCACGCCUACUGUUCGACAAUAUUCCCCAACGAGAAAAACAUCUCUUAUUUCUCGCUUCCUAAUGGAAAACUUGAUGUCUUUGCAAUCAAUUGAUUUGCGUAGAGAUUUAUUUAUGUGGUGUGGCUAAGCCUGUCAUCUAAUCGAAGGCCAACUUGAAAGCACGGUUCCAAAUAUCUGUGAGAUCGAAUUAAUUUUAUUUAUUUCUUUUGUUCAUUGGUAUUUGUACGUUUCCUGAUUUAAUUGCUUAUGCUUGUUAUGUUAUUUGAAUGUCAUGGACCCGAUAUUCGAAUUAACCUAAUGAUCUAAUGCCAAAUUAAUUGAUUGAAUCCGUAAUUGUUCAAUCGAUUAAUACCAGUGGCGACUAGCGUGAUUGGUUUCAUGUUAGAGAAACGUAUAAUCUGACUUAAACAAACUCUCGUAGCGUGUUUGUUGGUUAGGAUUGGGUUUUUUUAAUUAUCAAUGCAAUCGAGUAAUUAAACUCUAUGGUCGUACCUAGGGUUAUUUCUUGAUUAGAGAAAUAGUUAACGGUUGUACCUUAACUAUCGAGAAAUUAAGGAAAGACUGGUUGUUCAUCGCGUGUAUGACAACUAUAACCAAUCUAGUAAUGAGUAAUUGAAUUAUCUUUGCAUCGAUGAUCAGUUGAAUGGACCGUGUCUGAAAAGUUGCACCUUUGGCUAGAGUCGUAUUGGUUAUUGAUUAAUUUCUGUUUAUUUUUAUUAGUUGUUUCAUUAGUUAGUUAAUUAGUUAUUUUAUAUUUUUGAAAAAUCCCCCAUGCGUUGAACUCUAGAAGAAACGAAUUAUCCCCAAUCUCUGUGGAUUCGACCCUGCUCACCGCUAUAUACAAAAUUUAUAUUUUUCUUGAGUAGGUAAUUAUUAUUGCACAGGCUCAACAGCCUGCCAAAUUCAUAUAUACAAUUAGACUUGCAAAUGUCAAUGCAAACUGCUGUGCACUUGAACCUGGAAUAAUGGAUAACUAUGCAGUAAUGUAUUUCUAAAUUAUAAUAAAUAGAAUUUUGUUUUUCUUGUAGUUUUUGUGAUUGUGAUCAAAUGAGGUAUGACUAUGCAAGUGUAUAUGUUUUCAAAUAUCAUUUUUACUUUUCAAAUUUACAAAUUUAUCCGUGAUUGUAUAGCAUUAUGAUGUAGUAGUAAUACAAAAGAAAUACCAUGUAAAUGAUGAUAGUUUUUUUUCAAAUAAACAAAGUGGUUUACGAAUAUUCCUAUCUAGCGAGCAAAAGGGUAGUUAGGAUAUUUAAAAAUCUUACUACAAAAACAACAAAAGUAAAGUAGGUUAGUGAUACUUUUAAAACUUUAGGGGUGUCAGGCGAAAUGAAGAGAAAUCUCAGGGGAGGUUUACAAUAUUGACUUACUGAAUACACUUAUUUAUGCCAAUUAUACUCUUCAUACUAAUUAUAUUUUUAAACUAAAUUACUAUUUACGCAUAUUUUAAAACUUCAAAUUUAAUUGCUAUUAGCGAAUUAUAUUGAUGUGUUUUUAUAUGAGUAGUAUUUUUUUAUUUUGGACGCUACUUUAAUUAGAAUUUAGUUUAAAGACAUUCACUGGAGUUUGGACGCAUCCAGAGAGCACCGAUCGAUGUAUCUUCAUGCGUAAAUUGGAAUAAAUAUGCAACUUAAUUUUUUAAAAAUAAAUUACUACUCUAUAUCCGAAAUUUACUUUUUGGAGAGUAGAUUUAGUUCAUACUAUUUUUCAUAGUAUUUUAAAAUAUAUAAGUACAAAAAAUUUUAAAUUAUACCUAUAAUCGUGUAUUAUACGACUAUAUUAUGAGUACUUACUAAUUAAGGUACUAAACUUUAAUCAUUGAUAAAAUAUCUUAUCGUUAUUUCAAAUAAACUUCCUAAUACUAGUUUGAGAUAAGUUUUAAAGUAAAAUAGUAUAUAUAUCCCAUAAAUCAGUAAAUCUUGAUUAUUAAUCAAAUUUGCCAUGUUAUCAGUAAUAAUUACUAUUUAUGUAUAAAAACUUACUAUUACUUGAAUUAAACUUGUGAUUACUUGAAGUAAAAUAGUACAUGCAUUUGCUUGCCUUUUGCUUUGGCUAAUUAUAAAAUUAGACAUAAUUGUAGAAACCUCCUAUAGGUUUUUGACAUAUUCAUACGGCCCUCCCUAACAUUUGCAAAACUAUACAAAACUCCAAAGACUUUAAGGUUUAUAUUACAAAUUUAAUUCCAACGAAGUUUACUAACAUUAAAAAAAUUACUUUACAUGGGGGAGUGAAGUGAAAAAAUGGGAGUAUAAUAAUAUCCCUUAAUUGUUUAUUCCAUAAAUAUCCCUUAUACAUGUAUGUGAGUUGAAUUUGUUUAAUAAUAGAAAUAAUUUUGGUGUAAUGGGCCAUUUUUUUGUGCAGUUAGAGCAUAUUUUGCCUAAAUAAAGCUAUUUCUAAGAUUUUACCUGAAUACCUAAAUUAUAUGUGCAGUUGGCGGAUUUACCUUUAAUAUAAUAAUAAUAGUAAUAGCAAAGCACAACAUUAUUUCCCUUCCUUUCUAUAUUCUCUGUUCAUCCAGCAUUUCCCCUCUACGUUUCUCUACUUUUCAUUGCUCUCUUAUUUAUCAUGUUAAUCCAAAUGGAUAUGUGAUUUUAUUAGUUUCAAAUAGGUAGUUGAAUAAAAUCAAUUAAUUGGUGGCUAUUAAAUGGAUAGAUUUUGACUACAUAUUUAUAAUUAAUUCAAUUAAACGUAAAGUCAAAUUCAUUAGUAAGCAAAUGAAUUUGAAUUCGUAUACACAAUAAUUAUAUUAAAGUUUUUGCAAAGUCAUAUCUAUCCAGUGUUUCCUAUUCUUUAAUUUUCAUUAAAAGUUUUAGAAACAAAAUUGGUUACAGUAAAACAAACUGCCAACUAUUUAUUAAGCACUCAUGUGAAAGUAUUUUCAAGUACCUUUGUCUGCUUGACAUUUAAACUAAUUUUUUAUCAUAAUUUUUAUUAUUACCAAACUCAUUCGGUCUCUCAUAACCAGUGCUCAUAAUAAUUGAACUUUUUGCACCAGAAUACGCUAUGUCUAACGUUAAUUGUUGGGGUUAAAUGCAAUAAAAUCAUGACUAACUACAUACUUAAUUGCAGUUUACCCCUUAAACUAUAGUAAUAUACUUUUUCCUCUCUUGAAUUAUUGGCAAAAAAAUUUUGGGGUUACAGAAAGGCAUCCUCAAAGUUUUGUAAUUUUGGCCAAUUAGGGAGAAUUGACGGGAAAUGAAGAAUUGAUCGUUAGAACCAACGGUUUUAUCCAACAAAAAAUGGGUAAAAUCGAAUGGAGCCAUUUUUAACGGAACAAUUGCAACGGACGAAAAGCUCCAUUCUUCUCAUUCUUCUCUUUGCCUUUCUGCAAGCCCAAAAUUUUUUUGGUCAAUUUCUGGAGUUUUAACGACCGUUAUACAACUUUCAAAACAAAUAAAUUCAUUCUAAAUUUUUAUUUGGAAUAAUUUCAUAAACCAAAUCGCGGUCACUUUCUGCAAAGUAUCACUUUUCCAUAAAAAGACCAAUUCUUUAUGGCUUUCCUCUAUUAUAAGAACAGAGUACCCAUUUUUUCAUAAAUAAAUUUAUUUAUAGGAUAAAAUAAAAAUAAAUCUAUUUUUCAAUAAAAGACUAACUCUUUAUGACUUUCCUCUAUUAUAAGAACAGAGUACCCAUUUUUCCAUAAACAAAUUUAUUUAUCGGAUAAAAUAAAAAUAAAUUCAUUUUCCAAUAAAAUAUCACCUCUUUAUGGCUUUCCUCCAUUAUAAGAACAGAGUACCAUUUAUGGGUAAAAUCGUUGGUUCUAACGAUCAAUUCUUCAUUUCCCUUCAAUUGUCCUUAAUUGGUCAAAAUUAUGAAACUUUAAGGAUGUAAUGUGUUUGGGGUGAAACAUUGAGGAUGAAAUUGACCAACCACCCAAACUUUGAGGAUUAAAAGUGUAUUUUUCCUAUAAAAUAUUUAAUCAAAUAUUAUUUCUUGUCAUAAUUUUAGUUAUGACUAUACUACAUAUUUAUUAAAUAGACAUACAUUUAUAAUUAAAGUUAAUAUUUGAUAUUUUAGGAUGCCAUAUAUUUAAAUAAAUGAAAAUUAUUUUGAACAUAACAAAUUAAAAUAAUUUUGUUUGUCAAUCAUUUUGGCCCCCCCUAAGGACAAAAUCUUGGCUUCGUCACUGCCUAGGAGGAAAUUGGGGCCUAUUGCUAACAAAAUAUUGUGAAAAUUUACCUUUAUACCCUAAUUAUUUGAAAAAAUCUAAUGAACAAAUUUUGCAAAAGAAACCUUGUUUCUUUCCAACAAAUUAAGCAACUAAUAAAAUCACCUGUAAUGUUGUUUUAACAUAUUUAAUUUAUGUUAAACACAAAUUCUACCAGUUUCUCUUUCGUAAAAAUAUAAGUAUAACACUUUUUCAAUUUUAGUUAUAAACAUUUAUGUACUUUACAUAAAUGUAGUGAUUCAGAGUAAAAUACCCAUAAAUAGCUAGUAUUUUGUUGAUGUAAUGCAAAAAACCAAUAAAGAGCUGGUAUGUUAUGGGCGCAAUCUUUUUUACUUUCACAUAUUUAAAAUUUGUUAAAUACAAAAUCUACCAGUUUCCCUUUCGUAAAAAUAUCAGUAUAAUACUUUUUCAAUUUUAAUUACAAACAUUUAUAUAUUUUACAUAAAUGUAAUGAUUCAAAAUAAAAUGCCCAUAAAUAAUUAGUAUUUUGUUGAUGUAAUGCAAAGAACUUAUAAAGAGCUGGUAUGGUAUGAGCAAAAACUUUUUUACUUUCACAUAUUUAAAAUUUGUUAAAUAUAAAAUUUACUAGUUUCCCUUUCGUAAAAAUAUUAACGUAACACUUUUUUAAUUUUAGUUACAAACAUUUAUGUUAUGAUUCAAAAUAAAAUGCCUAUAAAUAACUAGUAUUUUGUUGAUAUAAUGCAAAAAAUUAUAAAGAACUGGUAUGUUAUGGGCAAUAUGUUUUUUACUUUCACAAAAAUCAGUAUAUGUUAAGUACAAGAGAACCAAUUUUCCUUUCGUAAAAAUAUUAGUGUAACAGUUUUUCAAUUUUAGUUACAAACAUUUAUGUAUUUUACAUAAAUGUAAUGAUUCAGAAUAAAAUGCCCAAAAAUAGAUAGUAUUUUGUUGAUGUAAUACCCAUAAUCGGGAGAAUCAAUUGGAAUCCACUGUUUCUCAGCCUUGGACGCUUUAUGUAAAGUAGAGAUAUUUGUAUUCAAUUAAAUGUGAAACAGGCAAUAAUCUGUCUUCCCGUGAAUCUAGUUUCCACAAAUGUUAAUAUUUUACUAAUAUAAUAAUUAAAAUCAAUUUCAAUAAUUCAAAUUUAGUAUGUAAGAUAAAAGUUAUUAGAAAAGUGAGAAACCAAAAGAAAAAUAACUCAAAUUUAUUAAAAGUCCAAAAAAGAUUCAGUACUUCAGCUCUGGAGGUCCUCCAAAUGACUAUAUAUUAGAACAUCUAUAAUCAAAAUAGAUUACAUAAUUAAAAAACUUAAUAUUUCAAACAUUUAUUUUCUUAAGUUUCACUUUUUAAAGGCUCUCAACUCGUUAUUCAAUAAUGACCAUAUAUUGUUUCAAAGCCAAGCAUGGCAGUGUUUAGUACUGCUUACACUUCUUCUUCGGUGUUUUAUUCGUAAGCCCAUUAUAUUCAUGUUAAUUCCGUCACACCCCAAUACAUUUCCAACUUCUGCAGUACGCAACAUCUCCUAACCGCCAGCAGCUGUUAUAGGUCACCACCUGCUUUUGUAGAAAUAUUCCCUUGCCAUGUGCCGGCUUCUUUGCCAUAUUUUUUACCUUUCCACACCUGUUUUUGAUUAGCUGAAUACACUACAGAAUUUACCUUGUAAAGUGUCAUGGAGACGCGAUUAUUAUGUAUAGAAUUCAUAAAAACAGUAAAUAUUAUACUUGUAUUGUUGUAAAGAUGUGUAAGCAAUUUAUUUAGAAUUAUAAAAUAUUUAAAAAAUAUUACACCAUUCAGAACGAUCUAAUAACUGUCAUUGCGUCACGUCUCAAAGUUGAGGCACAAACUAUAGUUGUUGCUGACAGCAAUCAUGCAAAAACGUUGACGCCCAUUUGAUAAAAAAAGAAAAUGUAGGGCCCAUAUGAUAUCUUAUACAUCAAUUAUAACGUCAUGAAUGAAACUUAUAAAAUUUUAUUUUAUUUUUAUAAAUUAUUAAAAGUGAGUUAUAUCGUGAAUAAAGUAAAUUACAUGUGAAAUUGAAAUAAAACUGACCCAAAUAUUUUUUUCUUACAACCGUUUGCGCCUUUUGUCUUGCGUGUGGAGCGAGGACAGAGCGUGGAAUGGGGCCGGAUAAAUUGUAAAAUAAGAUCCGACAAAGUGGGGACACAAUGCUAUAUUUAAAUUAAUCACCAGAAUCGGGUUUCUUUCAUGGCCUUUCAAUAUCCACCAUCAAAGCAUAUUCAUUACCAACUGUUUAGACUCAGUUCGGGAGUUCAUACAAACCCCGCUCUAUUGACCCUCCCCACUGUUUCAAUCUCCUUAUUUUUUUUCACUCUUAAUUAAGCGCUCACUAACUUGUUAACACACACAACUAAUCAGAAUAAUCAAUUAGCUUUUUUUAAAAAAAAUUUUCCCAACAAGAAAAAGGUGAAAUUUUUUUAAAAAAAGGAAGAAAAUCGAGGAAUUUGAAUCCAAAACUUCUGAACCAAAUUCUCCUAGACUAAUUUAGUUAUUUAAUUAAGAGUACUUGAGAAAAUAUCAAGUUGAACAUCCUUUAAAAUUAUUCCACCUAGUAUAAUAUACAAUCAAUUACAUGUAUAUAGAUAGAAAGGAAAAGCAACCGAAACUUGAAUUACCUCCUUUAGUUUUCUUUCCUCCACCUUUCUUCCUAUGGUUUCUCACUCACAUUUUCACUGUAUUUUUUUUUUUUUAUAAUCCGAAACAUGCACUCACAUUUUCACUUUAUUAUUAUUUUUUUGUGAUCUGAAACAUGUUUGACUUGAGCCACUUAGGACCCAAGGUGACGCACUAAAUUGGGAUAUACGCCGUAACCCUUCACAACGCACCUAGGUUAGACAGGGGAUUCAAGUCUAAGAAAAUAUUCGAAUCUAGGAUCUCAUGUAAUCCAGGAGCCCGCUUUAUCGCUAGAUUAAUCCUGGGGGCUUAUUUUCUCCGUCUUAGUCUUCUAAAAGCCAGAAUAUCACGGUAAAAGAUCGGACGAAGAGGUAGAAUUGGGCGGCGGGCAUCAAUCCUAGUGCUUUCAAGCAUAUUAUAAUCACAGAAACUGUUGUGCAAACCCUGAAAACUUUUGUGGUUAUUUUGCAGGGAUUCAUGUGGUCGAUUUCCCAGCUCGGAUUCACUGUACUCAUUAUCUGUUUUCAUUUGUUACUUUCCGUGUAUCAUAUAAACAGAUUACAAAGCUUCAUGUAAACUUAUAUAACAUGAGCUUCAAAGAAAACAAGAUUACAGAGGAAUCAACUGCUAGGAGCUAAUUCACCUUUCUAUGUAGCUUUCCAAGAUGAAAGAGGCGGAGUAUUUGCAAACCUCCAAGUACUUGCCAUUAAUCCAGGAAAGACCAAUAAGAUCUUCAAAAAGAAAAAGAAUAAAAAUAAGGACUGAUAAGUAUCAAGGGAAAGGUAAAACAAACCGUGAUUUCGGUAGGAACCCUUUAAUUAAUUUAAUGAACACAAUAACACUUGAAACUAACUUUACAGUUUUGCAAACUUACUCCUCAAAAUAAAUAGUACUGAAAACAAUAAUUCAGUAUAAUCCAAACUAGACUUAGCUGUUGUUUACUUGCACAGGCUUCAAAUGAGGAAAUAGAUCUCCUUUUUUGGUUUUCUUCUUUUUGGGUUUUUAUUUUGGGGGGGGGGGGGGUUUGGGAGAUCAUUUCGCAGUAAUGCAAAUUUAUCUAACUCUGAUUCUUGGAGAAACUCCCAAUAUUAUGAUGAAAUUCAACAUUGUUCUACAAAUGGGUGUUUUUGGUUGUAUGUUGUGUAGAAGAGGGUCCUAAUGAAUUUGCGGAAUGCGAAUACAAUAGAGCUUGCAUUUGGUAAAUACGAGGUCUAAAAAAGUUGGACUUUGAUCAAAGUCCCAUUCAACGAGAUCUCGCAUCAUUUUGUACAAUGUUUUUACAUUUCAUCAUAAUUUUGGGAACUGCUCCUGAUUCUAGAGCUGCAAACAGGGAAUCAUGGAUUACAUAAAUGAUAGUCCAACUUGCACAAAUUGCUCUGAUUGAUUAUUACUAAAACUCGAACUAAAUUAAUUAAUCCAAAAGAGAUUGAUAGAGAAAUAGAAGACUACGAAAACAAACCGUGAUUUCAAUAGGAAUCUUUAUGUCAAUCCGAUGCACAUAAUAGAGAUCAAUAUAAUCAACAUCUAGCCUCUUCAAACUGGCCUCACAAGCUUCCCUCACCUAGUCUGGAUCGCCACAUAUUGUACGUUCUCCACUUUCCAAAAUUCUUGAGGCAAACUUCGAAGCAAUUUGAACUUUCUCCCUUUGCACCCACCUCAAUGCCUACAUCCACAACAUUCAAAUUAAUUUAUCAAAAAGCAGAAUACCAUUCCACAAAAAUUCCAAAAAAGAUAAGACAGAAACCCAGGCAACCAAAAAAAAAAAAAAACCCAGAAACAGUAUAAAAAUCUUAACAAAAAAAAUCCAUCAAUAACUCCCAAAAAAAAAGACCAAAAAUUGCAUUAAGCCAUCAUUAUACUUUCUUGAACCAAAACAAAAGAAAAGAAAGGGUUCUGGCCAUUGUGGCUUAUAAGGCUUUGAUUCACCUUUCCAAUGAGGAUUUCAUUAGUAUGGGGGCCACAGACAUCAGGUGUCCGGAUGAGUGAUGCCACUAUUGAUGGCAUAGUGUAUCAGCUUGAUCCAGACUAAAUCAGAAUUUGAUACAACCUGUUGAGGAAAAAGAGGUUAGAGCAGCUGUGUUCUCCAUGCACCCAAAUAAAGCACCUGACCUGAUGGUAUGACACCCUUAUUUUUUCAAAGAUAUUGGCAUGCUAUUAAAGCUGAUGUGGUGUCUGCUAUUCACAGCUUUUUGAGUAAUUGCCAUCUUUCGAAGAGCAUAAAUGAGACCAGUAUAACCCUCACUCCUAAGGUAGAAAAUCCAAUAUCUUUGUCCAACUAUAGACCAAUCAGUCUUUGUAAUGUGCUCUAUAGAAUCAUAGCAAAAAUUCUAGCCAAUAAAUUGAAAAAAGUUAUCUGUCUUAUGCAUUAGCUAUUCUAAGUCUGCCUUCGUACCUGGAAGACAGAUUGUGGAUAAUAUCAUUUUGGCCCAUGAAAUCAUGCAUUUUUUAAAAAGCAAAAGGAAGGGUAAUACUGCUUUUAUGACCCUAAAGCUUGACAUGUCAAAGGCUUAUGACAUACUGAAAUGGAAAUUUAUGGGUAGAAUGAUGUUAAAAAUGGGUUUUUGUCCUAUUUUUGUAAGACGGAUUAUGAGCUGCAUGACAUCAGUGACCUAUUCGUUCAACUUUAAUGGGGAGAGGAUGGGGUAUGUGCAACCUAGUCGAGGUAUUAGACAGGGGGACCCUUUAUCCCCCUACCUCUUUUUGUUCUGCUCUGAAGGAUUAUCAAAUCUCAUGGAAAAGACAAUUGCAAAUAGGCAGAUCACAGGUCUCAAAGUGAGCAAGAAUGGACCUGUUCUAUCCCGUUUAUUCUUUGCAGAUGAUUCCUUAUUUUGCUGUAAAGCGUACCCAUAGGAAGCUAGAGCCAUGCGAGGAAUUCUUGCAAAGUAUGAGCUAGCCUCAGGACAGUGUAUCAACUAUGAGAAGUCUGCUGCUUUUUUUUAGCAAAAAUUGCAGCAGACAACAAAGAAGGCAGACCUGUGAGUAGAUGAACAACAUCAAAGAGGCAAACAGUGGCAAAUACUUGGAACUCCCCUUAGUGAUAAUAGGAUCAAAAAAGCAAGUCUUCGCCUACAUUGUUGAUAAAGCAAGAUCCAAAAUGCAAGGAUGGAAGCACAAUUUACUCAGCUAUGCCGGGAAAGAGGUACUUCUCAAGUCGGUCAUUAUGGCAUUACCCACUUACACAAUGUCAUGUUGCAGGUUACCUAAAGGAUUGUGUGCAAAAAUAUGUGGCCACAUGGCAAAAUUCUGGAGAGGCCAAAAUGAAGAGGAAAGGAAGGUGCAAUGGAUAAGAUGGGAGAAAAUCACACAGGUGAAAGGAAAUGGAGGCCUGGGAUUCAGGGAAUUGGAGCAUUUUAUUAGUGCUUUAUUAGCAAAACAACUAUGGAGACACUUACUGCAGCUAGAAUUAAUAGUGAGUAAGGUGCUAGGAGCGAAGUACAAACUAUCGCAAACAGGCUGGGAAGGAGAAGCUCCAAGGAAUGCAUCUUGGGUAUGGAGAAGUAUUUGCAGUUCUUGCUCGGUGCUGCAAAAAGGAAUGUGGAAGGGAGUGGGAGAUGGGACUACUAUAAACAUAUGGAGGGACAAAUGACUCAUGUGGUCAUCAACUAGGAAAAUAGCAAUGCAGAAACCUCUAGGUUGUAGUCUACAAACAGUGGCAGAUUUGAUAAAAAGAGAAAAUGGAAUAAGGAACUAAUUGAGGAGACUUUCUCAGAGGAGGAAGUUUCACAAAUCUUACAGAUGCCCCUAAGUUUGUUUCCCAUGAGGGAUAUGGUCUACUAGAAAUACUCAAAAUCAGGAACAUAUACAAUGAAAUCUGGAUAUGCAGUGGAAAAAAAGGAGGUAAGCUAGAGGAGAAAGGAGGAUCAAGGCGAGGGAGAAACUAGCUAUGCAUAGCAUAAGGAAAAAAUGUGGAAGAGCUUGUGGGGGUUAAAGAUGAAGCCAAAGAUCAAACAUUUCAUAUGGAGAUGCCUACACAAUAGGAUUCCUGUGAAUGAGCUGAUACACAAAAGAACAGGAAAAGGCUCUCUAUUAAACAAAUGUUGUGGUGAAGGGGAGGAAAUAGUGGAACACAUGAUCUUUUUUUUGCAGCAAUGCUGAACCUAUAUGGAAAUUGGCCCCAAUACAAUGGGAUGGAGUAUCAAACUUCUGGAGGUGGUAGGAAGGUAUAUUAAAGGCAAGGAAAAGACCAAAAGGAGAGGACCACAUCACAUUAACAGCAAACAUCAUCUGGCAAAUCUGGAAAGCAAGAUAUGCUCGACAGUAUGAAGGGAAGUAUGGAGAUCAUAUGUCCAUCUUGGAUAAUGCAAAGAAUGAAUGGCUGGAAUUUCAAGAGGAAUAGCUGGACAAUGAUGAAAAGCACAAGAUAGGAGAGAGUCACCAAAAUGCAAAGCCACCAAUGGAGGCCACUAGACGCAGGCGUAGUGAAGAUCAACACUGAUGCAGCUGUCUCUACUAAAUUAGCAGGAGCAGAUUUAGGGAUGAUAGCGAGAGACAGCUAUGGAAACCUUGUUGAAGCAAGAGGUAUCAGAAAGUCUAGCAGCUGUGGAGUUGAAAUAGAAGAGGCAGAUGCAAUCCGAUAGGGACUGCCAUUGAAAAAAUCCACAAGGGAGGCAUGGAGGAAUCACCAAUAGCCACCAUAAUGGAAGAUAUAAGAAAUUGAGUGACAUGUUCCAGUACUGUACUUUUUCUUUUGUUUAUAGAGAUGGAAAUACAUGUGCUCAUAAAAUGGCACAAUUUGCAACUAGACUUGUUUCCAAUAUAAUGUGGAAACAAUAUUAAAAGUUUCCCUCUGUGGCUCAAAGAGAGUAUACAGGAGGAUAAUAAGACCAAUGUCCACUUUCGUAAAUGAGAUCUUGUAUUAUCAAGUGUAUAUAUAUAUAUAUAUAUAUAUAUAUAUAUAUAAAGAGAAUACCGUUUGGAAAAAAAAAAGUGUAUCAGCUUGAUCAUAUCUGCCUCAGGCUUUGGAGGGCCAUAGCCAAAAGACAUUCCCAUGCAGCCUAAGCCUUGCACUGAUACCUUUAGGCAUUGUGAUCCCAGCUUGAUUCUCCUCACUCCUCCUGCCAUUUUUGAAGCUUUGUUAGUAAUUUCUUCCAAAACAUUGCUGGCUUCUCUCCUCUUCGAGUUGAGUAUUGAAAGUAGGGAGAGUUAACAUGAGAGAAUUGGAUGGUAUGAUGGCGUAGUUGGUGAGCUCAUCACUUUCUGCCCAUCCUGGAAGAUGGCAUAUUACUAGCGGAGUAAUUACAGAUAAUAUAUAUAAAUAUGCAAGUGGUUAGGAUGUGCACUAUAAUAUAUCAGCGGAAAGUAUCUUCCGCACAGACCACAACGAAUCCUUCACUGGAGGGAAUACAAAGGGUUAAUUUCAGAAACCUCAAAAACCUUUGAGGUUGAUCCUAAUGUCACCACCUAUCAUGUUUAAAGUUUUAAAAAUACAUUUACAUCACCUAUUAAUGUGAUAUGACUAGAUCUUCCAAUCAGAAGUGUUGAAAUGACAAUAUAUUACUCUCAAUAUUUUCCUACUUUUUUAAGUAGCAAAGGUUGGGAAAACGAAAAAAAAUCCUACAAGCUAAAAACACCUAACAACAAAUAACAAGAAUGCCAUUCAAAAUAUAUUUCUCCCUCUUUGUUACAAAAAUUUUUGCUUUUAAUACUCAUCUUUGUUAUAAUCGAUCUCCUAAAAUUUUCUCUCCAAAUUCCCUUUUUGCAGUAAAAUUUUUGUAUAUAUUUGCUAUAAAAUCUUUGCUCUUAAUUUCCUCAUUGUUCCAACAAAUCUCUUGAAGUUUUUACCUUUUUAUAAUGUUGAAGUAGUUUCAGAAGUUAUCCUUGUCUUACAAAUUCUUACAUUUUUAAUUUAAUAUUCGAUCUUGUUUUUUUUUCAUAUUUCAAAAUUCAUAAAUAAAAUUGUACAAGGGUAAAAGUGAAAAAUAAUAUAUAAUAUCUCCUUUGAUGCAUUAUUUAUUAUAGCUUUUACACAUUAGGGGUGAUAGUUACAUAAAUUGUCAUUCAAGGGGAGUUACGUGAGAUUUCUAAAACUUCAAAAGUACAAGGUGAUAUUAGGAUAAAAACUCAAGAGCACUAGAAAUCUCUUCCUCGCACAGGGUUGCCGCAUCUCUGAAAUGCAAUGACCAUGAAACAACUCCAUUUGAAUUAGCCAUUUUUGGGGGGUAUUUUUGAAAAAUUUUACUGUAGCAGUGUAUAUGAAAAAUUUUUAUUAUAAUUUUUUUUGAAAUAUUUGAAAUAUUGUAUGGUUUGUUUGGAUAGAGAAUUAUUAGCCAAAAUUUAUUUGCUUACAUCAUCAUUACAAUUUCCAACGCACCUUUUUAUCUUCCCAAUUACCUUUUUAUCUCACAUACAUCACAUCACAAAAAGUGCUACAGUAAAAAUAUUUCAAAUAAUUUACAAUCCAAACAGAGUUUUUUGAAUUAUUGUGUAUUAUUGUAGUAUUGUAUUUGAAAAACUUGUUUUUGAAAAAAUAACCAAUCCAAACGGAGUUUUCAUUUUUUUGUCAUGUGUCAUAACAUUGUGAAAAAAUUUUUUUUACUGGGAAAAAGUUUUUUUUUAAUUUCAUACCUUCACCAAUUUUUUAAAAUUUCUGCAGUCACCGUAUCCAAAUAAGUUUUUUUUUUUUGUAGAACUUAACUGUUGAUCGGUUAGCAAGCAACGACUAGUAACAACAUUUAGGUUUUAAAAUUGAAAUUUGUUUUAUCCUAGCCGUUGAUAGAUCAUCGAUCAACGGUUAGUAACAUGGAUUAGGUUCUAUUUUAAAGGCACAACUGUAAUUUCUUUAUCCUAACCAUUGAUUGAUCAUUGAUCAACUGCUAGUAAUGAGGUUUAUAUUCUGUUUUAAAACAUAAUUUUUAUUUUAAAUUUAAAUUUGUUAGAUUAGUUCACAACUUUUUUUUUUUUCGAAUUUUGUUCGCUUUUACGUGUAAUUUGUAAGGUCACUUGCUAAUGGGGACUUCAUAUCAACUCCAUAUCUAUAAACACAAAUAGGAUCAUGUUAUAGAUAUGGAUUAAUGAAUUAUAUUUAUUUUCAAUAUUUAUGGAUAUUAAUGUCCAAUUACAACUGUCUAAUAUAAAUAAAGGAAAAGUAUUAUAAUAUUUCAAAUCGGGACAUUUAAAUGUAUAAAAUUAAUGUAAUAAAAGUUAUAUAAAUGUCAAUGUAUAAAAAUUUACAUACAGAUUGUCCACUAUGUAGACAAAUGGUCAAACAUGUAGGCUGAUUUUCUGAGAGGUAUGAAAAGACAUUACACGCUCGAAUAAAUUAUUCUUUGAUAAUCUUAUUUUACACAAUGAUAUUAUUAUAUUUUUUAGUUAAAAAAUAUUAUAGUGUCUAGGCAACAGUGGUACAAUUGUAGAUGUAAUUAUAGAAAUUAUAAAGUUAUUUUUACUAAAUAAAUUCUAUAUGUUUUUACGAUAAUUUGUGAUACUCAAGUAUUUUUAAAAGAAAAUAUCAAUAUAUUUAAAAAUAAAAAAGAAUUAGUAAUAAGGACAAACAAGGAAAAAGGAAAGUCAAAAUGUUUUUAUAUAAGUACUAUUUUUAAUUUUUUGUAAUAAGAAAUUAUUGCCACAAUGUAAUAAGAAUUAGAACCAUAAUCCAAUACUGUUUCACUCUUGGAAAGGAAGCUUCAAUCAUAAUUUUACUCAUCAAUACAAUCGCCCGAGCUGGUUCGUUAAUUAUUUGUUUUUCACACCUUAGAGUAAUUGAACUUUGAGUCGCCGCGUCCAAACCGGAUGCGGCGAAAAAAACUUUUUUGGCAGUCUCCACACGACAUAAUAAUAAAAAAAAAAAAAUCCACACAUGACAAACAAAUGAAAGAGAAAAUAAUAUUUCAAGGUCGCUGCAUUUCAGACAUGUGGCGACCAAAGACAAUUAAUAUUGGUAGAAAUUUGCCCUAAGUUGGGUCCUAAAAGAAAUAGCUGCAUAAAACAUUUCUCAACACAUUGCUAACAAAUUUUUGCAAAAUGAUAAUCAGUUAUUGGAUAAUCGAUGAUAAUACUUAACCAAAGACAAUAGAUUUAUUAAAGUUCAUGUAUCAUUGUUCGACAAUCGAACAUUAUUCUGCAAGCGUGAACUACAUGGAAUGAACUUCCAAGAAAAGCCAAAAACAUUGGACUUAGGUUUUUUGGUAGGAAUCGGAAUCAGGUGCCUGGUGCCAGUAGCCAAUGCACCUUCCUAUGUAGCUUUCCAAGAUGACAAGGGCGGAGUAUUAGCAAACCUCCAAGUCCUUGCCAAUUGAUCAGCUGAGUAUCUCUCACCCUUUGAUGCAUCAGCAGAAGCAAUGGAUUCAAGCUCAGCCGUUUCUUCUGGUGUCAACUUCACAGAAACGGCCUUGAUGUUACUCUCCAGGUUCUCAAUCUUGGUGGUGCCAGGAAUAGGGCAGACGUAGUCCCCUUGAUGAUGAACCCAUGCUAAGGCCAGUUGGGAUGUGGUGCAACCCUUUCUUGUGGCCAAUUCACCAACGCGCUCGAGCAGCUUCAUGUUGUGCUCAAGAUUCUCCCCUUGAAACUUAGGGACAGUCUGCAAAAGGUAGCAUAUUGUUUGUUGUCAGCAUUCAAAUUGUGUCUAUGUAGUUCUGCUUCCUAAAAACCUAGAUAUCUCAAUCAGUGCAAAUACAAAGUAAAGGCGAGGAAAGAGUGCAAGAAGUUUGUACUUAAUUUGGUGAUGGGAACAACACAGUGCAAUAAAAAUAUCUGAGUCAGUGGCGUUUUUGCCUAUGAAGUGGGGCGAGAUAGCAUAAUGCAUGUUAAUGCAGGCAAGACAGAACAGUCAAUCAGGAAUGAGAUACAGGGCAUCACUGCAGAACACAAAGGAAAUCUGGAAAUGGAAAAGAAGCGAAGUAGAAUGUUGCCAGGAGCCUAACGCAACCUAACAAGAUAACCGGAAGGAUAUUCUCACGUACCAACCAGAAUCUAAUUCUGGAGUCAUCCAUUUUUAACAACACCUGUCUCUGUAUUAGUUCUGAAACAGACACUUCAGAGCAAGUUCAACUUACACGGUUAUUGCAGAAGCAAACACCAAAGCCAAAAGUAAUCAAGAGAAGUGAAGUGCAUUAUCUAGAACACAAGGAAGCCACAAAUUCUAGGAAUCAAUAUCUUAUACAUGGACCAGAGGGAUGAAUAAGCAACAGACUCAGAUGAUCAGUUGUAAGCACAUGACAACAUACCUUGCGGAAGUCAUUGCUAGACAAGUUCUCCAUAAGCUUUGCACCACCUCCGAAGAAUCCUCUGCCCAGAGGACUGAAUGGUACAAUUCCUAUGCCAAGUUCCCUGCAUGAGUCAUAAACAUCAUGAAGAAGUGCGCUGAGGGGGUUAAAAGAAGUUUCGCUACAGAGAAGAAAGUUCCCUGGAGCAUGUCUUGUCGAUGACUCUCACCUGCAUGUGGGAAUAACUUCUUCCUCAGCAUCUCUUGUCCACAAGGACCACUCUAGUUGCACAGCUGAUAUGGGGUGAACGGCAUGCGCCCUCCUGAUUGUUUCUGGUGAGGCCUCAGACAGACCUAUGUAUCUCACUUUACCCUCUUCAACCAGUUUCUUCAGAGCUCCAAUCUACAUGUUGCAUAAUGUAGAAGGAUUUUAAGAAGAAAAGUCUGUCUGCCUUACAUAUCUACAUAUAUCAGUUGCAGUCACAGAUAGCAAAACACACACAAACAAAAAGCUUGGGAGGGUCCAUCCAUUAACUUUUGUUGAAUACAUCUACCUACCAAUCCACUACAGAAAGGCCAAUUAAGCUACAACACGCACGAGUGCGAAAAGGGGUUUAAGCUGAGUUACAGGAAGACUCGUUCCUCAAUACAAACACUGAUAUCAAGAAUUUAACAUAUUCUAAACUAGAAUGAGCUGUUGUUUACUUGCACAAAAAACAAAUAAUGGAAUUAGACUAGGGACAGACAGGGAAUUUAUAGAGUACUUCAGUGAUGAUUUGCAUUCUGCUAUUCAGAAACAUAUUGCUCUUGUGAGUCAAAACCUGGGCCCAAUAAUUCCAGAGGAGAUUAAUGAACAUUGAAGAGAAGGAAAAACCAACCGUGAUUUCAAUAGGAACCCUUGUAUCAAUCCGGUGAACAAAGUAGAGAUCAAUAUAAUCAACUCCCAAACGCUUCAAACUACUCUCACAGGCCUCUCUCACAUACUCUGGAUCACCACAAACUUCCGUUCCGCCACCUUCCAGUGGUUUCACCCCAAAUUUAGUAGCAAGUUGGACUUUCUCCCUUGGCAACCCCUUCAACCCCUACAUCCACAAAAAAUUCAAAGUCAAAUUCUUAAAAAAUAAUAAUAAUAAAAAUCUAACUAAAAGAAUUCCAAAAAAUUAAAAAAUACAAAAUUCCCGCUACUACCUAAGGUGAGUUGGUAAAGGUAUUAAGCUGAAAAAAUUGUGGGAACAAGAUAAGAAUAUCAAUAAACAAAAACCCAUCAACAAAACAAAAACGGAGAGAGGGAAAAUUACUUUUGUGGGGAAGCAGUAAAAAUGGCAUUAUUCACAACCAUUAACUAGGCAGCCAAGUUUUAAAAAACAAUACAAAAAUCUUGAGAGACAAAACCCAUCCCUUAAAAAUUGCACAAAACAAAGGGGAAAUUGCAGUUGUACCGAAAUAAGUAUAUGUGUCAUCUACACACAGCAUAAAUAAAGUUCUACACAUUUUACAGUAUUUAGCAUCCAAAAAUUUCAACAAAACAUUGUUGAUCUUCAACUCCAACUUCCAAUAUAUUUCUUCUUCUUUCCAUACAAACCCCUUGAACUACAAAAAACAAAAAAAAAAUGGAGAAGUGGGAAUUGUACCUUUCCAACGAGAAUUUCAUUAGUAUAUGGACCAUAGAUGAUAGAGGUGUCAAAAUGAGUGAUGCCUUUAUUGAAAGCAUGGUGGAUGAGCUUGAUCAUAUCUGCCUCAGGCUUUGGAGGACCAUAGCCAUGAGUCAUUCCCAUGCAACCUAGGCCUUGGACUGACACGUCCAGGCCCUGUGACCCCAGCUUGAUUCUCCUCACUUCCGACGCCAUUUUCGAAUCGAACUUUCCCAAAGGUUGCUGAUUUCUUCCAGAAUCAGGAUUUGAGUGAAAGAGAGGAGACGGUCGAGAGAGUUAUAUAGAGAGUGGAAUGGGAUAUGACUGUGUUUCUUUUGACCCAGAAGUAAUAUGAUGAUGUAUUCGGUGAGCUCAUCAGCUCCCGGCAUCCCGGCGGGCGGUGGUUAUUUCAUUUCAGCGGCUUCUCAGCCCAUUCCACGUUACCGACUACAUUUGCAAAAAGUCUACAUUUGCAUUGAAAAAGUCUGAGUUUCACAGAAUUGAAAAAGACUACAUUUGCAUUGGAAUGGGACACUGGGCAGCUUCCAUUAAAAUUUCGGACUCAUUACGACAGAAUUCGCACUUGUCCACGAAUAAAAAUGCAACAGAAUGCAAGUGUACAUUAAAAUAAAUAGUAUAACGAAAUACAAGAAUCGUACGCAACUCAAUCCAUCUAGCACAUCGCAACAGCUGCUCCAAUGUUUUAUGAAUAAAAGGUAGCUCCAAGCCUCUUUGAAUUUAGAAACUUAAGAUGUAAAUCUGGUUCGUGAUUUUGAGUUUUUCAAAAUCUGUUUACACAUUUUUUUCAAAAACAUUUUUAGUAGGUGAAGGAAGAUUUAAGAUGCUGAAAGGGAGCAGGGGAUUUGAACUUUGGUUUGUGGGAAUUGUUAUUUUUUUUUUGAAGUUUUUAUAAAUAAAUAAAUAUAUAUAUAUUGCAAUAAUUUGAUAUAUUUAAUAUAGAAAGAUAAUUAAAAAUAUAUUCAGAGAAAAAUGAAAUUCUUUUUUAAAAAAAUAACAAUCCAAACAAGUCUUUCAAGAAUUUCAGCUUUAAUCACUAGAUCAACGGCUUCUCGAGUGACUGAGGCUUCCUCACCCUGUUUAGACAUUUUGGGAGCGUGGAAGUUAAAAUCCCCUAAUACUACCAGUACAUUGCCACUUUCCUCACAUUUGUUUAAAUAAACAAAUUUUUGGCUUUAAGUGUUUUUUUGGUUCUGUUUGUAGAAACUUGAUAUGAAAAUUCAACUUUCACAUGUCUUGUUUUUGAAGAGUUUCCAGCAGAUAGAAGGUUUUUUCUUCCACUCUGAAUUCUAAAAAAUGGGGCCAAUUAUUUAUGUGUGUGCAAGCUUUAACUUUUUAUGCAAAAGCUUAUACCAAUUAGGGAUAGUGAUAUUUUAUAGUUUUAUACUGGGCUCACUUGUUCUUUUUUGUGUGUUUAUUCUAUGUCCUUGCACAGAAGAGAAAUUUUUUUUAAAGAGUAAUAUACAUGUGAUCCAGAUGAGGGAAUACAAUGAGAUAUAAUACAGAAGAGAAAAACUAAUGUACGUGAGAUAUAAUACAAUAUGAUUUCAAUCACAUUCUUGCUUAGUUGGUGAUAUAUACAAAAAUUUUCAACCAUAAUUGAAUAAACUUUGCCAAUGGACACGAAUCGAUGGACCAGGGGCAGGAACUGCAACCGUUCCUGGCAAUUAUGUGCAUUUUACACAGCAUAAUUUUAUUUGUACAUGGCAUAAUUUUAUUUGCACAAUGUGUAACUUUAGAACAAAUUUUUGUGGGUUCCACACACAUUGUUAAAAACGAGAUACAAAAAGUGAUAUGGACCGUAUAAUUUUUUUUGAUCAAAUCUUGACCAUGAACAGCUCAGAAACGAUCCACCUGAUGACCGUCAUGCCCCGUAUUCCGAAUCGAUUAUGCUUCCACGUAAUUCUAGUCAUCCCUUGACAUGACAGCAAUUAGUAUUCCUACUUUCUUGAAGCUUUUUACUCUCACUGCAUAUGUUACACCCAAUUUUUCAAACACUUAAUGCUUUUAGUAAAUACAAGGAUUGUGUUUGACUAGCAGAUUAUUUGGAAUAAUUUUUUUCAAAAAAAUAAUAUAAUAAUUUUUAAUAUGAUAUAUGUGAAAUAAAAAAUAAUUAAUAAUAUAAACAAAUAAAAUUUGACGAUUGGAUAAUGAAUACAAAUUGUUCUACCAUAAUGAAGACAAGGGUUUGCAGUCAAUUAAACAGAACUGGUCCAAGAGAAUUUAAAUGGAUAAUGCUUCUUCUGCAUAACUCUAUUCUGUAUCUUCCCCUGAUUUGACAGCACCUAGCUUCUUGUUUUGUUUAUUUUUUUUUUAAACUCUAAUCCACACCAAACUAGAUACGUUACACCACAUUAAUAAGACAGUGCGACCCGCCAUCCUAUUGCUAGAUUUUGUUUUGAUACAUGAGUGUUCUCUAGGUCAAAGCCCUUUGUUAACAAAUUUAGCAAUUAUAAUUUUGGAAUCUCGAAACAAUUGUUUAUAAUUGUAUCACGUGUAUGGAGUCCAUAAUUCAUGCCCCACGCAUAAGAUAAAGGUACGAAAUGCUAGGAAUGGGAAAAACUAUGGGUUUAGUUCACUGGUCAAUAAAAAGGGAAAAAGUUUCUCUUUAAGAUGUAGAUGAGAGGUUUGAAUUCUAUUUAUAGUGAAAUUUUUUUUUAAAAAUGUCAAAAUAUUCUUUUAAUUUAGUUAGAUUUUUAUAUCGCUAAUCUUUUAUACAGUCUCUUUAAACUCCCAUUCCACGUAGAAUGAGAGCGUCUUUACUCUGUGAUAUGAAACUCAAGAAUUGCUAAGAUUAACUUCCCCCCUAAGAAGAUGAAGUAGUUUUUGACAUAAUGAUAUAAUAAUUGAACUAGCGGGGAGAUUGACUCGAUUAUUAUCAAAUUGAUUCUACUUAUUCAUAUUGCAUGGAAAAAAUAAAAAGUUGAGAUAUUCUUCCUUCCCCACUACCUUUUUGAGGAUAGGUUAUGAACUAAAGUUUUGAGCCAGUAUACCGUAAUUAAUUAGGGUAAAAAAUAAAAAGUUCCCUUGUAAUAAGUUUAAUACACAGAAAAGCUCCAUGUGAUUUUAAAAUAUAUAACACGACACCUCAUACUUUGAAUUAAAUUGUAAAGGUGACGGAAUCCGUUAAACUUAACGGAAAUGACUUAUUGGAACCUAAAAAAAAUUUUAUACCUAAUUUUUAAUAAAUAUACCUAUUCUACCCCGUAACCCUCAAUUAUCUCUAUUUAGAGAAUAAAACAAAUGAUUUUUUUUGAACUGUCUUUUAUUUAAUUAUAUCAAGAUAUUUUGGUCAUUUCAUUUAUUUUUUGUUAAGUUAACGGAUUCUGUCACCUUUACAAUUUAAUUCAAAGUAUGAGGUGUCGUGUUGUACAUUUUGAAACCAUGGGGUUUUUUUGUGUGAGCCCUUUAAUUUCUCUCUGAUAUCUUUCAUGACGAUAGGAUAUCAAAAAAGAGUUAUUUUGUGGUACUAGAAACACAAGAAUAAGAAUAUGUAUGUGAUCUGAGGACCAUAACCCUUUUUUAUAGAUAACAUUCUUGUAACCUUUUGUAUUUCUAUUUCAACCCAUCAUAAAAUAUUGCCCUUAAGUUCUUAUACAUUAAAGGCACAUAUCCUAUACAUACAUUAAAUCUCAAAUUGUAAUUGAUCACUUUAAUUAGAUUUAAUUUUAUUUGAUAGUCUAUAACACAUCUCCAUUUGGAUUAAUUGUUUUUAGGGAUGUUUUUGAAAAAUUUUGUUGUAGCAGAGUUUUUACAGUAUAUUUUGAGAUAUUUUUAGAAAAAAUUUUGGGAUAUUUAAGAGUAGAAGAGUUUCUAGAAUAUAUUUUGAGAUAUUUUUUAAAAUUUUAAAAAAAUUUAAACUAAUUUAUAGAGUACCUUUAGAAUACUUUUUAAAAAUUUUUAUUAUAUUUGAAAAACUAAUUUUUGAAAAACACUUCCAUUAAUUAUUCACAUAUGAGUCCAACGUUCGAUUAAAUAUCCAACAAUAAAUCAAUAGAGAAAAUAGAAUAGGUUGAAUGGCGAUGGCACUAACGCUAAUCGAAGAAGGGAACAGGCCAUUGUUGCUUCAUCAACCAGAAAGUCCAAAUGUUAAAUCCAUGUUAUAGUCUCUGGAAGAAAAUAGAACUGGUUAGACAAGGAACUGCCCGCGGCCACGGCUUGUGGAGCUAUAUUCGAACUUGCACUAGUGGGCAUCUGAUUCCCCAUCCCACCUUUCCCUUCCUCACUACUAAUCCAAUCUCUUCAACACCUUUACACCUUUAGACUUCACCAUUAACCACAAUGUCGACAAAUCUUACGAAGAUAACACAUAGAGGGGCAAAAAACAAAAAACAAAAAAAAAAAAGGCAAACCCACCUGGAUUUGCCUCAAUUUUGAUUAAAAUUCGCAACAAAGCAAAACAAAUUUGGUAUAAGCAAUGAUUUAGCUAUCAGAUGAUAAGGGAUUUGGCAAACCAAUUUCACGACCGUCGUUUUUGAACUCCAAUGGCCUUUUACACACCCCCUUCCCACUUGCAAAAUUUUUCUGCAGAAAUAGCCGUGGAAAGAGUUAAGAAGGAAUAGUAGUUUGGGAAAAUUGGUGUGUGGAGGGGUUUUUAAGGCGUCAUGGCUGACCAAAUUUAGAGAUUAGCAUGAAAUACUUUUGGUGGUACUAAAAGAAGGUGUAACAACGACAGUACUGAAAGUUCUCAGAUGCUGAUGAAGUUUGAUGUUGAUGUAAACGUCAUCUGUCACGUAACGUCUUUAAACGGCCAUACUUACUUCAAUACCCUUAUACUUUGUGUAGAUCGGACCUUUAAAAACUCAAUAUUUUAAAUUGUGCCACAUAAUUUGGAUCAUUGGUUUUUGAAAAUCGAGUCUAUCCAAGUUUUGGCCACCUGAAUAUCUCGACCUUUUGUAUGCAUGCUCUUGUCAAAGAUUAUAUAAUAAUUCCUUAAAAAAAAAAGAUUAUAUAACAAUUAGGGAAAAUGGUUCAAAAUGUCGCUUAAUUUUACAAAAUGACUUUUCUCUUAUUUUUAAAAAUGUAUUUUUAUGUCCCUUAUAAAUUCACAUCUGUCAAAUUGGAUCCCUAAAGUUUUUGACUAGCUUUUGGGCAGGAUCCACUAUGUAUCUUGCACGUGAUCAUUUUUUAGGGAUAAACUAUCAAAUCACAUUUCACAUAAUCCGAUCCAUAAUCUCUUAUAUUUCACAAAAUGACUCUCCGUUUAGAUUAGCUGUUUUUGGGAGUGUUUUUGAAAAAUUUUGCUGUAGCAGAGUUUUUAGAGUAUAUUUUGAAAUAUUUUUAGAAAAUGUUUUGGGAUAUUUAAAAGUAGAAGAGUUUCUAGAAUAUAUUUUGAGAUAUUUUUUAAAAUUUUAAAAAAAUUUAAACUAAUUUUUAUAUUACCUUUCAGAGUACUUUUUAAAAAUUUUUAUUGUAUUUGAAAAACUAGUUUUUGAAAAACACUCCAAAAACAGGGGUUUUUUUUUCAUCUCUCACAUUUUACAAAAUGAUUUUUUUUAUCUCUUACAUUUCACAAAAUAAAUUUUUUAUCUCUCACUAAUCAUGUGUGUGAAUACCUUUUUUUUUAUUUUUGAAAACCAUGUUUAUGUCUAUUGAUUUCACCUAACAAUAUGAAUAACAUGUAUUAUACAUGAUCAUUUGAUUUCAUUUAGUAUUAUCUAGUAAAAAGUCUUGCAUUCAUUAUUAAGUUGGCCAAUAAAGCUAGUCCCGGUCAAAAUACAAUAUGAAUAUGCAAAUUAAGGUUCUUCAAAUAACCCAAUCAACAGUCCUAUCUACAAUCAUUACAAAUCCCGUAUCUGCUAGCAUGUAAUGAUCAACUAGUUUGCCACCAAAAAAUGAGAAAAAGAGAAACUUUCAAAAUUUCCUUUUUUUUUUCUUAAUUUGCAUAUUAUUAUUGUAUUUUGACCGGAAUAACUUUAUUGGCCAAUUUGACAAUGAAAGCAAGACUUUUACUAGUUAAUACCAAAUGAAAUCAAAUGGUCACAUAUAAUACAUGCUAUUUGUAUUGUUAGGUAAAAUCAAAUAGAUACAUACAUGUGUUUUAGAAAAGAAAAUAUAUUCGCACACAUGAUUAGUGAGGGAUGAAAAAUUCAUUUUGUAAAAUGUGAAGAACUAUGGAUUGGAUUAUGUGAAAUAUGAUUUGACAAUUUUGCCCAUAAAAAAUGAUCACGUGCAAGGUACACAAUAGAUUUUGACAAAAAAUUAGUCAAAAAUCCAGAUAAGGACCAAAUUUGAUUGAUAUGAGUUUGUAAUGGACAUAAAAUUAUACUUUUAAAAAUGAGAAAUGAAAAAAGCUAUUUUAUAAAAUGUGACAGACGUUUUGAGCAAUUUUUCCUAACAAUUAAUUAUAGCCUAAUUUCAAUUGACAUUUUUUGGGGCUUUUGGGUAAAAUUUACUAUAGCACUUUUUUUAGAAUGUGAUAUAUGUGAAAUAAAAGGAUAACUAAAGAUUAUGUAGUAGGAAUAUUUAUUGAAAACGUAAAAAUUUUUCUCAAAAAUUUACAAUCUAAACAAGGCUAAUUGCUAAACUCUACUGAAUUACAUGCAUUCAAAUGAAAUGUAAUAUCAACGCGAAGGGGAACUCAAGAAUUAUCAAACCUUCCUCGAAAAAUCAAUAAAAGUUCACAGAAAAUGGUAAUGGAAGUUCAUAUGGGAUCUACCAAAUAAGAAGAAAUUUUCAAAAACACUAUUGACGAUAUUCGCCCAUGAGAUACUAUAAUAAGAAGAAAUUUUCAAAAACACUAAUGAUAAUAAAUCGCCCAUGAUAUACUAUUCUGCUGGCAAGAGCCAAUAACUGCGAAGUAGAGUUCAAAUUUGUCAUUACAUUCAUGAACCACUUUUACAAGUGGAAUGAUGCCUAUAUAGCCGUGCAGAGUAUUGAAUCUCCUCAAAUUGAAGAUGUCAUUUGAGAGGCAGAAGAUUGACCUAAGCAUUGCCUGUGCAAAGAGAUAAACUAUUAAGAUCUUCACGUAUGUUUAGCAACCUAACGUGAAUAUAAAUUCAAGACUUAAAUCCUUUUCUAUUGUGAACAUAGUGUUUUUGUAGGAUGGUAAUUUCUAUCGUGACACGAUAAUAUAAUUCGAGUAUAACCAAAAUUAAUAGAUUUUGACACAAUUUGAACUUUAGUAGGUCGUUAUUGAGUUAACCUAUUAGUGACACGAAUAUAAAUAAGUUGGGUUGGAUCAGCUUGCAGGCUGACACGCUAACCCAUUAAGUACUUAUUUUAUAAUACUAAUUAAACACUACAAAGGUCAUUUUGAGUAUGUAGUAAAAGCUAAUAAUGAUCAAAUGUGGCUUGAAGACUUCCGGUAGAAGUUUUAAAAACUCACAAGUUUAUAUUAUAUCAUAUAUGGAACUGUCUGACCAUGCCCCUAAAAGGUUGAUUAGAUUGCAUUUUUAAGAAACUUUUUUGGAGAAAAAUUGCUUUAGCACUUUUUAAGAUGUCAUGUAUGCGAAAUGAAGAUGAUUAAAAAAUAUGUAGAAGCAAUAUUCAUAGAAAAUGGAGAAAAAUUUCAAAAAAAAAAAAAAAAGCAAUCCAAAUAAGGUCGAAUUUGUUGCUUACAUUAUGCUUGGAAAGUUUCAUUAUCUAUUAUUUUUUGAAUGUUUUGAAAAUUUUAAAUUUUGUGUUGAUUAUAUAUUUCAAAAAAUUUAUCACGUGUUUCAACAACAACAACAUUGAAUCGAUGACAUGAUCAAAUAGGUUAAAAUAAGUAAUUAAAAUGCUAGACUAUUUUUGACAUAGGUUAGUAAGAUUAAGAUGGUAACGUAAUGUAUCAUAUAAAAAAAAAAAUUUGGUUAAAAUAAAUAAUUAGAAUGCUAGACUAUUUUUGACGUAGGUUAGUAGGUUAAUUUGGCAAAAUGACAUAUCAUAUCAAAACUAUUUUAAUCAUAUAAAGUGCUUAAUGGUUUACACGGGUUGGAUUAGAUCAAUCUCUUAAUAAACAGGCUCUGAUACGACACAACGCGAAAAUCUAGUAGAUUGAAUUAGGAUUGAAGUUUUCUAAUAUGAACACGAUAAUGACACAAUAAGUACAUGACACGACCCAUUGCUACCCUUAGGUUUUUGUGCCUAUUAGCUGCAAAUAUAUUUCAUUCGAGCCUUAGUUUCCUGGUCCAAAUUCUGUAGAAAUGAAAUUUGAAUUUGAAAUAGGUGGAUAACUAAUAAUUGCAUGUCAUACCAUCAAGUAAUGUGACAAUAAAAAGGUAGUAUGACCUAGAAUACCCAGCUCACUCCUCUUUUGCCAACAAAAUGUAGAAUUUUCAAGAAAAAGGCAGUAGGAAAGGUGGUCCAUCAAGGAUGGUCAGGAAUAUUUUGUGCUGGAAAGACAAUCUUAUACAAUUUCCAAUUGUUUUCUAUGCACCAUAAGUAACAAGUAACACUCCAAAACUUAAAAGACUAGGUUUGCAGUUUAAGUCACAAAUCGUCUCCCUAUUAAGCAGCGGAGAUGUGCUCCUAUCUAUCUCCUUGAAAUCACAGAGCCACUUGCUCCUAACCAUCUCCUUGAAAUCACAGAGCCACCCUAACCACGUCGCCAAAACAUGCAUUGAUCAUUUUCUGUUCUACAUAUUAGCCUCCGUUAAACUUGGGACUUCAAAAGGAGACAGGACUUGACACAGAAUUAAUUGACGUCACACAAAGCCUGUCAUUCAACUUAAAAUUACAGGCGUACUACUACACAAAGAUGUUUAAGUAGAGCAUAUAGGCCAUGUUACCGCUACAGUCAGCUAAAUCCUCCUACAACAGCAUCAAUUUCACCUGUCUGUAUUCACUAAACCUCGAAUGCUACCUAAAUCAGGCAAGUAGCUUUCUCAUCUUAAUACAAUACAUAAGUUCAAUAAUAAUGCUUGAUUUUAGACCAAAAAAAAAAAAGAUAGGAUGCAACAGUUGUAUUACACUUUUCCUUUCUGACAUAUUGUACCAAGUAUCCUUAUGCCUUUUCUACCACUCUUGCUGCUGCCUCAGUUCAUUGAUGAUGCUAAAAAACUUUAGAGGCUAUACCUUCAACAAAAGCCUCUUAUUCCUAAACCAAGAGAGUACGAAGGGUAAGGCAAUCCAACUAAAGUCAAGAACUCACAUAUCAGAUGCCCAUCCAUGCUAAGGGUUAUGUAUGCCUACAUGUUUUCAGAUCUAUAAAUCUAACACCACAGCUAAAUAUCUGCACAGGUUACAGAAAACAUAGCACAUUAGACUGGUCCUAGGACAGGCAAUAAUCAGUUCACAUAUCUAGAGGUAUGUUCAUGAAGACAAUCUCCAAUUAAAUUGUGCAGACACUGUUUGGUUGACUAUAGACAGUUUCCACGGAUAUGUUCCUAUAGACUACUCUUCCAAGUCUCAGACACGAAACUAAUGAUUUUCCAUUUAUCUUUUAUGCACAACCAACAAUCAUUUCAGUAGCCAUCAAUACAAGAUCCCUUGAGAACAUAACUAGUCCGAAUAAAUACAAAAAUAUCAGGUGUUCACAAAAUAGAGUUAAGGCAGAAUCUGUAGGUGGAGAAGAUCACAUUGAUGUGCUUAUAGUGGCAGUACCAAUAUGCCCCUAACCUGAUUACAUGGCAAGGAAGAGACAGCACAGAUGACACAAAACUAAGCACAUUAAACUGGUCCCACAACAGCCAAUAACCAGUUCAUAUAUCGAGAAGUAGGUUCAUGUAGAUCAUCUCCAAUUAAAUGGUGCAAACACUGUUUGGUUCAGAUAUGUUCCUAUACAAUACUCUUCUUAGACACUAAACUACUGAUUUUUAUUUUAUUUUAUUUUAUUUAUUUGUUUAUUUAUUUUUGCACUACCAAUGAUCAUUUCUUUAACCAUCAAUAUAACAUCCAUUAAAUAAUAUAACGACUCUAAAUAAACACAACAAUAUCAGGUGUUAACAAAAUGCAAUGAAGAGCAAAAUCUGUAGGUGAGGAAGAUCAGAUAUAUGUGCUCAUCGUGGCAGCACCUAUAUGCCCUUAACCUGAUUACAUGACAAGGAAGAAACAGCAUAACGAGGAAACUAACAGGAUCCAACUCAACAUACCAGGGCUACAACAAAACAUUGAACCACCCAAAUAAAAGUAACUACAUAUCAGGUGAGAAACUAUUAACACCAAAAUACAAAUUGUAUACUUGUUACUACAUUAAAACCAAUGAUAAUCUGUGUCAAGUGCAUCACAAAUUACACUACCACCACAACACUUCACAAGCACCACAAAAAAUCACAAUGCCCCUAAUUGAAAUGCCAAUUUCUAAACAUCAUACUACAUUGCUCAUCAAGGAUAGCACCCUCCAUUUCCUCUAUUUUGUUUUCCUUGUGAUUUGCCAAAAACCAAACAGGGGCUUAAAGAAUACAUGAGGCAGUCCUCUUAAAUUAGAACACAAGGAAAAUAUUAUUAGCAGGGGGUUUUUUUAACAACUUUAUUUUGUUUGUGGGUAAGGUUUUUUAUCUAAACCUGUAGAAAAGAAGUAUAAGAGUUUAAAAUUAUGCAAAUGUUUGAUGGUUCACAUGUCAUAUGUCCAAAUAUCUUGCAAGAAAAAUACAAUUUCAGAGAUUAUCUCAUGAUCUAGACUACCUGACAUUACCUUACCCCCACACACCACAACCCCCCCCCCCCCCCAAAAAAAAAUAAAAACAGCCCCCAAAAAAGAAGUAAAAUUUUCAAGAGAAAGGUUGGCUUUGUAUGGAUAGCAAAUUUUUUCCAAAAAAAUUUUCGCUUGCAUCAUAAACUCAUUUCCCAAUCCACCUUUUUAUAUUCCCAACCACCUUUUUAUCUCAUAUACAUCACAUCACAAAAUAUGCUACAGCAAUUAUUCCACAAGAUGAAUAAUACUCUACAGUAAUUAUUUGGAAUAAUACUCUAUCCAUAGUAUUCUACAAGAUGAAUUAUUCUGGCAUUCAUUAUUGUUUUCCACCUUCAUCUCUUUGAAAUGAUCCACAAUCCAAACUGAGGAAUUAUUCUAAUGAAUCCUUUUCCUUUGAUUACCACUUCACUUUUGCCAACCAAAAAGAUUUAGGGUUUUACUGCCAUUUCCUUCGUUUCUUUCCCCAAUAAUUUGCCAAGACAAACAGGGACUUAAAGCAGAAAAACUUAUAGUAUGGGAUAGUACUUGAAGAUUAGAAAACUAGGAAAAUAUUAUCAAAAGAAAACUUCAUAAAUGCUAAUCUAUCAAGAACCUUUUACGCUUUUCAAGAAAAUCUCCCAUGUAGUCCAAAGAAUGAUUUCAAGUUACAGAUCAUGAAAUGACAAACAAGUUUUUUGAUGCUAAUUGGGGCUCCACGUUGAUAUAUUUGCCAUAAAUGCAACUUGAGGUAUAAAGGUCAUAGAACAUAUUGGUGAGGAUGAAGUUCAAACUACAAAUCGGUAAGUGACAUAUCGCCCUGCUGUCUCAC